GACGAACGCUGGCGGCGUGCCUAAUACAUGCAAGUAGAACGCUGAAGAGAGGAGCUUGCUCUUCUUGGAUGAGUUGCGAACGGGUGAGUAACGCGUAGGUAACCUGCCUGGUAGCGGGGGAUAACUAUUGGAAACGAUAGCUAAUACCGCAUGAUAUUAAUUGUCGCAUGAUAAUUAAUUGAAAGAUGCAAUUGCAUCACUACCAGAUGGACCUGCGUUGUAUUAGCUAGUUGGUGAGGUAACGGCUCACCAAGGCGACGAUACAUAGCCGACCUGAGAGGGUGAUCGGCCACACUGGGACUGAGACACGGCCCAGACUCCUACGGGAGGCAGCAGUAGGGAAUCUUCGGCAAUGGGGGGAACCCUGACCGAGCAACGCCGCGUGAGUGAAGAAGGUUUUCGGAUCGUAAAGCUCUGUUGUAAGAGAAGAACGGGUGUGAGAGUGGAAAGUUCACACUGUGACGGUAUCUUACCAGAAAGGGACGGCUAACUACGUGCCAGCAGCCGCGGUAAUACGUAGGUCCCGAGCGUUGUCCGGAUUUAUUGGGCGUAAAGCGAGCGCAGGCGGUUAGAUAAGUCUGAAGUUAAAGGCUGUGGCUUAACCAUAGUAUGCUUUGGAAACUGUUUAACUUGAGUGCAGAAGGGGAGAGUGGAAUUCCAUGUGUAGCGGUGAAAUGCGUAGAUAUAUGGAGGAACACCGGUGGCGAAAGCGGCUCUCUGGUCUGUAACUGACGCUGAGGCUCGAAAGCGUGGGGAGCAAACAGG
rnacentral:rRNA from 1 species